CCGCCACUGUUGGGUCGCCGUGCUGUCGUCUGAGAGCAGAGAGUGUGUGCGAGGAAGGAGAAGCCGUUCAAGCCACUACCAAGUCACCAUCGAUGAAAAUUCAACCAUCGUACCUCUGGUCGCCAGAAACUGCCAUUGGAGCCGCCACCUUCUUGUUGCUCUGUCGUACGCCACUGUUGGAGCUACCAUUCCACUACUGCUGCCUUUGCUCUGAGUCGUUAAUUGUAGCGAGUAUUGUUGUCAUGGCGGCUGCUCGGUUUAGUCGCUCCUCUUUAGUAUGGAUCGAGGUCCGGUUGCUGCACAUUGGUGAAUUUAAGUUACUGCUAUAGUUGCGGACACCAUGGAGCUGUGAUUGCGAUUGUUACCAAUGUCGGGCCGAGAGGAAAAGAGUUCCAGUGACGUGUUUGGUCUAUAGUUUCGACUUAUUGAGGUAGGGUUUUUCUUAAAAUCUAAUUUACAUUACAGAGUUGUGAUAAAUAGAUAUUGAUGCAAAAAGAUGUAUUUCUGUGAUUAUAUUUGUCUUGUGAAUAUGAUGGUUUGUUGGACUGAAUUAUUGAGUGUUUGAUUGCUUGAGUGAAGUACGGUUGUUGAUAAGAAAUGGAUUUGGAAAGUCAUUUACUUGAUUAUUAUGAAAAGUGGUUUUUCUUGGUUUGAAGUUAAAGUGGUUUGACUUUGAGUCGGUCUGAUAUUAUAAAUAAUUUAAUACUUGAGCUGGUUUGACUUUAGCAAGAGUUUUAUUAUUGGAAUUGGUCUGAUUUGAAAAUACUUUGAUACUGGAAUUGGUUGAAUUUUGGAAAGUGAUUGAGAUUUGGAAAUGAUUGAGAAAGGAUUUGAGAAAUGUUUGGAUGGGACCCGAAAAGGGUGGCCGUGUCCGAGUUUUAAAGGAAUGCUGCCGAAAUUUUAUAAAAUUAGAAGUUUUAUUUGAAGUAAUUAAUUAAAAAGAUUUGUUUUUAAAUAUUCUAUAUUUUAAGAUUGAUUUAUUUAUCAAAGAAAGAAUUAUGUUUUGAAUUGGGAUUGUUAAUGAACGGGAUGGAAAGAAGGAUGAUGAGGAUUGAUGAGGAUUUUUCCUGAAAUAUGGUUUUUAAAUGAAUUUGGAAAUGAGAUUUGGAUUGAUGAAUGAUUAUGAUGUUGAGAAUGUUGAGAUAUGAUCUUUGAAUUAUUUAUAUGGCUUAUGAAUUUGAAAUAUCUGAGAUACGAGGUUCCGUGGAUUAAGUGUCGUGGCUUGCCACCACGUGUACCAGAUUGAAAACUCGAUACUCUGUUGACCCGACAACGUAAGUGUGAUCGGGCACUAUAUAAAUUCCCCGGAAUGUUACCCCUAUUGAGCAAUAUUGAUUAUUUGAGAAAAAGCUAUGCAUAGACUCUUGGGGAUGCACGUCAGGAAACAGUCUAAGGACAAUUCAGACUUGUCGGGUUGGCUGGAUAACCGACAGAUGAGCCUCAUCAGCCAUAGGACGGCAUGCAUCAUAUGCAUUUGUAUGCUUUGCUUGGAUUUGAACUUGUUUUGGUUUGCCUAAUUGCUAAACUUUUCUUAACUGCUACUUGAACUAUUUGCUGUAACUGCUUCCUACUUGUGCUUUCCUUGUCUAUCUUGCCUGUGUUUGUCCUGGCGUGUUACAUUUGAGAAUGGACUUUGGUGCUGAAUGAAUGACUGUGUUGUUUCAUUGCAUGGUUGGUUUCUGAUUGAGAUUUGCUUAUGAGAAAGGAAAGACUUUGGAUUUCUGAAAAUAUUAAACAUUGUUUCUUUGAAAAAGGUUUUGAACGAUUAGCUAUUGGAUUUUAAAAGGGUUCAUAAGGCAAUGAUAAUAAUAGAAUCUGAAAACAGUUUUCUUAUUGAAUAUUUUCUUAUGACAACUUUGAAAUUUUGUGGUGAGACCGUGUGGUUAGGUUCUCACCCCCCUACAGCUUUACUUUUUCAUGAACCAGAUGAAGAAGCAUUCAGAAGAGUUAUACUACGUUUAAUUUAUAUGUUGUUGUAUUAAUUAGAUUAUUUUCUCCCCUCAUCUUUGUUAUUACAAGUUUGUAAGAGGGAUAGGAAUUGUAUGUUUUAUACGUAUAUUAUAUUGAAUUAUUAUAUAAGGAGUCUUGUAUAUGAAUC